rnacentral:rRNA from 1 species
AGAGUUUGAUCAUGGCUCAGAACGUACGCUGGCGGCACGCCUAACACAUGCAAGUCGAACGAAGUAGCAAUACUUAGUGGCAGACGGGUGAGUAACAUGUAGGUAUCUGCCCUUUGGCCUGGAAUAACACGAGGAAACUUGUGCUAAUACCGGAUAAGUCUUUACGGAGAAAGCUUUAUGCACCAUUGGAUGAGCCUGCACUUGAUUAGUUUGUUGGUGGGGUAAUGGCCUACCAAGACUGUGAUCAAUAGCUGAUUUGAGAGGAUGAUCAGCCACAUUGGGACUGAGACACGGCCCAAACUCCUACGGGAGGCAGCAGUGGGGAAUCUUGCACAAUGGAGGAAACUCUGAUGCAGCGAUGCCGCGUGAGUGAAGAAGGCCCUUGGGUUGUAAAGCUCUUUCGUCGGGGAAGAAAAUGACUGUACCCGAAUAAGAAGGUCCGGCUAACUUCGUGCCAGCAGCCGCGGUAAUACGAAGGGACCUAGCGUAGUUCGGAAUUACUGGGCUUAAAGAGUUCGUAGGUGGUUGAAAAAGUUGGUGGUGAAAUCCCAGAGCUUAACUCUGGAACUGCCAUCAAAACUUUUCAGCUAGAGUAUGAUAGAGGAAAGCAGAAUUUCUAGUGUAGAGGUGAAAUUCGUAGAUAUUAGAAAGAAUACCAAUUGCGAAGGCAGCUUUCUGGAUCAUUACUGACACUGAGGAACGAAAGCAUGGGUAGCGAAGAGGAUUAGAUACCCUCGUAGUCCAUGCCGUAAACGAUGUGUGUUAGACGUUGGAAAUUUAUUUUCAGUGUCGCAGCGAAAGCGAUAAACACACCGCCUGGGGAGUACGACCGCAAGGUUAAAACUCAAAUGAAUUGACGGGGACCCGCACAAGUAGUGGAGCAUGUGGUUUAAUUCGAAGAUACGCGCAGAACCUUACCAACACUUGACAUGUUCGUCGCGACUUUAAGAGAUUAAAGUUUUCGGUUCGGCCGGACGAAACACAGGUGCUGCAUGGCUGUCGUCAGCUCGUGUCGUGAGAUGUUGGGUUAAGUCCCGCAACGAGCGCAACCCUCACUUUUAGUUGCCAUCAUUUAGUUGGGCACUCUGAAAGAACUGCCAGUGAUAAGCUGGAGGAAGGUGGGGAUGACGUCAAGUCCUCAUGGCCCUUACGUGUUGGGCUACACACGUGCUACAAUGGUAUCUACAACAGGAAGCAAAACUGCGAAGUUAAGCAAAUCCUUAAAAGAUACCUCAGUUCGGAUUGCACUCUGCAACUCGAGUGCAUGAAGCUGGAAUUACUAGUAAUCGUGGAUCAGCGUGCCACGGUGAAUGCGUUCCCGGGUCUUGUACACACCGCCCGUCACACCAUGGGAGUUGGUUCUACCUUAAGGCAAGGUUUCAAACCCUUGACCACGGUAUAGUCAGCGACUGGGGUGAAGUCGUAACAAGGUAACCGUA